rnacentral:rRNA from 1 species
UACAGAGGUCUCGAGCGUUGUUCGGAUUCAUUGGGCGUAAAGGGUGCGUAGGUGGCUAGGUAAGUCGGAUGUGAAAUCCCGGGGCUCAACCCCGGAACUGCAUUCGAUACUGCCUGGCUAGAGUACUGGAGAGGAGAUUGGAAUUUACGGUGUAGCAGUGAAAUGCGUAGAUAUCGUAAGGAAGACCAGUGGCGAAGGCGGGUCUCUGGGCCGUAACUGACGCUGAGGAGCGAAAGCGUGGGAGCGAACAGG